GGAUGUGAGGGUGAUCUGGCGGCCACCUCUGUCACCCCGUUCAUCACCAGGGCUGACUAGGCUGGUGUCCCCUUCCUCCCUCACUGCUCCAUGGGCAUCCCUCCCAAAGCUGAGUGCUCAGUGUACGAGGACGACCUUACCCAAUAGAGGAGGCUCUCUCUGUCUUUGGUCAAGGGUAUACAAGUAGCUGUGCUCCCCUGCUGGAACCUCCAAACAGGCUCUCGAGAUUUUAUUACACACUAGUGGGCAUGGGAGGGGAAUACAGGGCGUAAUGAGAAGUGAGUAUGGCCGAAGUACAUUGUACACAUGGAUGACAUU
rnacentral:snRNA from 1 species